rnacentral:rRNA from 1 species
UACGUAGGGUGCAAGCGUUGUCCGGAAUUAUUGGGCGUAAAGAGCUCGUAGGCGGUGUGUCACGUCGAUCGUGAAAACUUGGGGCUUAACCUUGAGCUUGCGGUCGAUACGGGCAUCACUGGAGUUCGGCAGGGGAGACUGGAAUUCCUGGUGUAGCGGUGAAAUGCGCAGAUAUCAGGAGGAACACCGGUGGCGAAGGCGGGUCUCUGGGCCGAUACUGACGCUGAGGAGCGAAAGCGUGGGGAGCGAACAGG